AGAACGAACGCUGGCGGCAGGCUUAACACAUGCAAGUCGAACGCUCGUAGCAAUACGGGAGUGGCAGACGGGUGAGUAACGCGUGGGAACAUACCCUCCGGUUCGGAAUAGCUCAGGGAAACUUGGAUUAAUACCGGAUACGGCUGAGAGGCGAAAGAUUUAUCGCCGGAGGAUUGGCCCGCGUUCGAUUAGCUUGUUGGUGAGGUAACGGCUCACCAAGGCGAUGAUCGAUAGC
rnacentral:rRNA from 1 species